rnacentral:lncRNA from 1 species
UCUCUGCUUUCAAAUCUUUCUGUUUGAACCCGUCGAACUGGAACUUAUUGGUAAUAUUAAUUAUUUGGAAAACAAAAGGUCCUGGAAUGGAGUAUUUUUUAAUCAACAGCAUUGUCCUAUAUUAGUUAUAAACAAAGUUGAAUUCUUUGAUUCGCUGUUUUACGUCAUGCUCGCUAACAAAUUGAAACUUAUUUUUAGUCCAGAUUUUUAGUAUUCGUAUUGUUAUCUUAGAAAGUCUUACGGAUUAAAAUACUACAAUAGGUAACAAUUUGACAAUUUAGUAGUGUCAACCCUGUGAUUAUGACCCG